rnacentral:ncRNA from 1 species
CCAGAUAAAGCCAAACCCUCCGUGAGAAGGGGGCGGAAAGCGGCGGGUCUUAGUAAGACGAAGAUGGCCGAGCUGCCAAAG